rnacentral:rRNA from 1 species
GACGAACGCUGGCGGCGUGCCUAAUACAUGCAAGUCGAGCGAAUGGAUUGAGAGCUUGCUCUUAUGAAGUUAGCGGCGGACGGGUGAGUAACACGUGGGUAACCUGCCCAUAAGACUGGGAUAACUCCGGGAAACCGGGGCUAAUACCGGAUAACAUUUUGAACCGCAUGGUUCGAAAUUGAAAGGCGGCUUCGGCUGUCACUUAUGGAUGGACCCGCGUCGCAUUAGCUAGUUGGUGAGGUAACGGCUCACCAAGGCAACGAUGCGUAGCCGACGUGGGAGGGUGAUCGGCCAAACUGGGACUGAGACACGGCCCAGACUCCGACGGGAGGCAGCAGUAGGGAAUCUUCCGCAAUGGACGAAAGUCUGACGGAGCAACGCCGCGUGAGUGAUGAAGGCUUUUGGGUCGUAAAACUCUGUUGUUAGGGAAGAACAAGUGCUAGUUGAAUAAGCUGGCACCUUGACGGUACCUAACCAGAAAGCCACGGCUAACUACGUGCCAGCCGCCGCAGUAA